rnacentral:misc_RNA from 1 species
UGGCUGCUGGCGAGGCGGAGAGCAGUACCAUGAGACAUUUAGGUUUAUUUUUUUACAUUUUCUCCGUGAACCGUGUCUUCUUUCAUCCUACCGUCUUGUGAGAAGCAAGGCAAGUAUCCCACACCACGGAGGAGCUGGUGUUCGAGUGGGACCCCGUGGUGCCCCUGGACGUGGACCCCACCAUAGAACUCCCCCAGAAGGACAUCAGGAAUUACACCUCAGACUGCACUCAGGUGUACUCCACAGAUGAGCGUAACUUCACAUGCCUGGAGGUGGUGUUCACGCUGAAGAGAUGUCUCGGGUACUACGUCUUCCAUACCUACAUUCCAACCUGCCUCGUCGUUAUUAUGUCUCCUGAGAUCGCCCCAGCCUGCGUGACUCUGGGUGUGACUUCCCUCCUGACGCUCUUCACGCAACAGACCAAGUCUCAAGCUUCCUUACCGCCGGUCUCCUACAUUAAAACCAUCGAUAUAUUCAUGUCAUCCUAUACCGUGUUUGUGUUCAUGGUGCUUAUUGAGUACGCCGUGGUGAACAUUAUCCUGGGUGACGGCUCAGGGGACGCGGCGAAAUGCCCUGCGAAGCCUGAACCCAAGCCCAGCAAAGCAACUGACCAAGUACCUGGGUGUUCAGAUGAGCUUUAGGAAGUCUCUUCAAGCCGUCCACUAUGUUCGAGUCUUCUGUCUGCCACGGCUAGCACCACUUCGGCUGCUAGCCAACAGGGGCCUG